rnacentral:rRNA from 1 species
AUUGAACGCUGGCGGCAGGCUUAACACAUGCAAGUCGAACGAGUGGCGCACGGGUGAGGAAUGCUUGGGAAUCUACCGUGUAGUGGGAGAUAGCGUUUCGAAAGGAACGCUCAUACCGCAUACUAUACGAUGAGCCCAAGUCGGAUUAGCUAGUUGGUGGGGUAAAGGCCUACCAAGGCGACGAUCCGUAGCUGGUCUGAGAGGAUGAUCAGCCACACUGGAACUGAGACACGGUCCAGACUCCUACGGGAGGCAGCAGUGGGGAAUAUUGGACAAUGGGGGCAACCCUGAUCCAGCCAUGCCGCGUGUGUGAAGAAGGCCUUCGGGUUGUAAAGCACUUUAAGCGGGGAGGCGUUACCCGCAGAAUAAGCACCGGCUAACUCUGUGCCAGCCGCCGCGGUAAUAC